UGAAACAAUGGAAUGGGUUACUUAGGGAGGGUGGUAAAAUCUCCAUCCUUAGUGAUUUUUAAGGCUCAGCUUGACAAAGCCUUGGCUGGGAUGAUUUAAUUGGUGUUGGUCCUGCUUGAGCAGGGGAUUGGACCAGAUGACCUCCUGAGGUCUCUUCCAACCCUAA